rfam:TPA: Bos taurus chromosome 19, whole genome shotgun sequence.
UCCCUUGUGGUCCAAUGGCUAAGACUCUGCACUCCCGAUGCAGGGGCACUGGGUUCGAUCCCUGGUUUAGGAA